AGUGAACGCUGGCGGUAGGCCUAACACAUGCGAGUCGAGCGGCAGCACAGUAAGAGCUUGCUCUUACGGGUGGCGAGUGGCGGACGGGUGAGGAAUACAUCGGAAUCUACUUUUUCGUGGGGGAUAACGCAGGGAAACUUACGCUAAUACCGCAUACGACCUACGGGUGAAAGCAGGGGAUCUUCGGACCUUGCGCGAUUGAAUGAGCCGAUGUCGGAUUAGCUAGUUGGCGGGGUAAAGGCCCACCAAGGCGACGAUCCGUAGCUGGUCUGAGAGGAUGAUCAGCCACACUGGAACUGAGACACGGUCCAGACUCCUACGGGAGGCAGCAGUGGGGAAUAUUGGACAAUGGGCGCAAGCCUGAUCCAGCCAUACCGCGUGGGUGAAGAAGGCCUUCGGGUUGUAAAGCCCUUUUGUUGGGAAAGAAAAGCAGCAGGUUAAUACCCCGCUGUUCUGACGGUACCCAAAGAAUAAGCACCGGCUAACUUCGUG
rnacentral:rRNA from 1 species